CUUCCGAUUCUAAAGUCUAAUUUUGCAUUAAAAAACUAGGCAUAAUGAAAAGACUAACCUACUUAAGUGUGCUUGGAGUUCUUUCAUGUUGGCAUGGACC